rnacentral:siRNA from 1 species
AACGUUUGAAUAGAUUGGUCAG